rnacentral:rRNA from 1 species
CGAGUUUGAUCCUGGCUCAGAAUCAACGCUGGCGGCGUGCCUAACACAUGCAAGUCGAGCGGGCGCCAAUCUGUAGCAAUACAGAUGAAGCGCUAGCGGCAGACGGGUGAGUAACACGUAGUCAACCUACCUUUCCGUCCGGGAUAACUAGCCGAAAGGUUAGCUAAUACCUGAUGCGAUCAUCGAGCGGCAUCGUUUGAUGAUGAAAGCAGUAAUGCGCGGAUUGAGGGGGCUGCGGCCCAUUAGCUAGUUGGUGAGGUAACGGCCCACCAAGGCUACGAUGGGUAGCUGGUCUGAGAGGACGACCAGCCACACUGGGACUGAGACACGGCCCAGACUCCUACGGGAGGCAGCAGUGGGGAAUCUUGCGCAAUGGGCGAAAGCCUGACGCAGCGACGCCGCGUGCGGGAAGAAGGCCUUCGGGUUGUAAACCGCUUUCAGGAGGGACGAAGCCACUCGGGUUAAUAGCCCAGAGGGUGACGGUACCUCCAGAAGAAGCCCCGGCUAACUACGUGCCAGCAGCCGCGGUGCU